GUAGCGUUUACUUUAAAAAAAAAAACAAAAAAAAACUUUAAAAAGUCAAUAAAUAAAAUGAGGAAACUGGAGAUCAGAGAAAUUGAGUAGCUUGCUGGAGGUCACACAGCUAAUACAGAGCAGAACCAAGAUUUGAACUGGGUGGCUUGGCUCCUGAGCUUCAGCUUUGGGCUGAGGUCCAGUGGCUAAUAUGACCACACAGAGCUCACAGCCCUCCCUGGCCUCCUGCCCCAGACCUCUCUAGCGGCCACACAGAGAAUCACUGAAAGCUAGCUGGUCAGGUAGCAAAUUAAAAGAAGACAGCAUGAAAAGUACGACGGUCACUUGAGACUUGUCUCAGUCCCUUCUCUGAUUUCAAGGUGAGGUCGUAGGGUCUAGGAUCUCUUGAUUCCAAUCACUUUCAUUGCACUUGGGAUGACUGUACCUGCUAACUGGUCCCUUACAGGUUUACAGAAUCAGGUCCAGAGCAGGGAGCACUAGUCUGGGAGUCUGAAGAACCGGGCUCUCAACUGGCUCUGCUUCUAACCAGCGGGGUUAGCUCUGCAAGUUUCCAGCUUCUCCGCGCCCCAUGGAUCUUACUUGCACCCAGGCGGGUAGAUUAGAUCAGUGUCACAAAUCCCAGGUGUGGGGGCCAAAGUGACCCCCCCCCCCACAGGUUUUGCUUAGUAUGCACGGUGAUUUUCUUUUUUGUUUAACUGCUGACACUUAAAACAGGGAGUGUUCACAUAGAAGCCCGGGGCCUCCGGAAUCUAGCGAAGACCAGGUAGAUCAUAAAGGAAUUGAACGC